rnacentral:rRNA from 1 species
GAGUUUGAUCUUGGCUCAGAUUGAACGCUGGCGGCAGGCCUAACACAUGCAAGUCGAGCGGAUGACGGGAGCUUGCUCCUUGAUUCAGCGGCGGACGGGUGAGUAAUGCCUAGGAAUCUGCCUGGUAGUGGGGGGACAACGUUUCGAAAGGAACGCUAAUACCGCAUACGUCCUACGGGAGAAAGCAGGGGACCUUCGGGCCUUGCGCUAUCAGAUGAGCCUAGGUCGGAUUAGCUAGUUGGUGGGGUAAUGGCUCACCAAGGCGACGAUCCGUAACUGGUCUGAGAGGAUGAUCAGUCACACUGGAACUGAGACACGGUCCAGACUCCUACGGGAGGCAGCAGUGGGGAAUAUUGGACAAUGGGCGAAAGCCUGAUCCAGCCAUGCCGCGUGUGUGAAGAGGGUCUUCGGAUUGUAAAGCACUUUAAGUUGGGAGGAAGGGCAGUAAGUUAAUACCUUGCUGUUUGACGUUACCGACAGAAUAAGCACCGGCUAACUCUGUGCCAGCAGCC